GUGCAGUCCAGUAACCCACCAUGUUCUCUGACCUGUGAGACACGGAAUGAAAUGGCUGCAAACAGUAAACAGAAUCCAUGGUGCUUCUGAAAGCCUGUAACUUGUACAGACUCUUGAAAAUAUCUUGGAGACAAUU